CCCUUAGAUGUUCUGGGCUGCACGCGCGCUACACUGAUACUUUCAGCGAGUCCACCACCUUGCCUGGGAAGGUGGGGUAACCUCUGGAAAGUGCAUCGUGAUGGGGAUCGAUUAUUGUAAUUAUUAAUCUUCAACGAGGAAUUCCUAGUAAGCAUGUGUCAUCAGCCCGUGCUGAUUACGUCCCUGCCCUUUGUACACACCGCCCGUCGCUCCUACCGAUUGGGUGUGCUGGUGAAAUGUUCGGAUCGGCCGUUUGUCGCGGUUUCCGCGUCAUGUGGCUGAGAAGUUCAUUAAACCCUCCCACCUAGAGGAAGGAGAAGUCGUAACA
rnacentral:rRNA from 1 species